rnacentral:rRNA from 1 species
CCUACGGGUGGCAGCAGUGAGGAAUAUUGGUCAAUGGACGAGAGUCUGAACCAGCCAAGUAGCGUGAAUGAUGACUGCCCUAUGGGCUUUAAACUUCUUUUAUAAAGGAAUAAAACGAGGCACGUGUGCCUUUUUGCAUGUACUUUAUGAAUACGGAUCGGCUCACCCCGUGCCAGCCGCCCCGGUAAUACGGAGGGUCCGAGCGGUAUACGGAGUUAUUGGGUUUAAAGGGAGCGUAGAUGGGUUGUUAAGUCAGUUGUGAAAGUUUGCGGCUCAACCGUAACAGUGCAAUUGAUACUGGCAGUCUUGAGUACAGAUGAGGUAGGCGGAAUUCGUGGUGUAGCGGUGAAAUGCUUAGAUAUCACGAAGAACCCCGAUGGCGAAGGCAGCUUACUAAACUGUGACUGACAUUGAUGCUCGAAAGUGUGGGUAUCAAACAGGAUUAGAUACCCGAGUAGUC